UACGAAGGGGGCUAGCGUUGCUCGGAAUCACUGGGCGUAAAGCGCACGUAGGCGGCUUUUUAAGUCAGAGGUGAAAUCCUGGAGCUCAACUCCAGAACUGCCUUUGAUACUGGAGAGCUUGAGUCCGGGAGAGGUGAGUGGAACUGCGAGUGUAGAGGUGAAAUUCGUAGAUAUUCGCAAGAACACCAGUGGCGAAGCCGGCUCACUGGCCCGGUACUGACGCUGAGGUGCGAAAGCGUGGGGAGCAAACAGG
rnacentral:rRNA from 1 species